rnacentral:rRNA from 1 species
AGCAGCCGCGGUAAUUCCAGCUCCAAUAGCGUAUAUUAAAGUUGUUGCAGUUAAAAAGCUCGUAGUUGAAUUUCGGGAUUAGUACGUUGGUCGUGCCUUCGGUACGUACUGGUGUUACUGAUUCCUACCUUCUGACGGACCGUCAUGUCAUUAAUUUGAUGUGGCGGGGAAUCAGGACUGUUACUUUGAAAAGAUUAGAGUGUUUAAAGCAGGCUCGCGCUUGAAUACAUUAGCAUGGAAUAAUGAAAUAGGACGUUCGAUCCUAUUUUGUUGGUUUCUAGGAUUGACGUAAUGAUUAAUAGGGAUAGUUGGGGGCAUUAGUAUUCAAUUGUCAGAGGUGAAAUUCUUGGAUUUAUUGAAGACUAACUACUGCGAAAGCAUUUGCCA